rnacentral:rRNA from 1 species
GGUUUGAUCAUGGCUCAGAUUGAACGCUGGCGGGAUGCUUUGCAUGCAAGUCGAACGGCACAUACGGACUUCGGUCUGGUGGCGAGUGGCGAACAGGUGAGUAAUGUAUCAGGAACGUGCCUAGUAGCGGGGGAUAACUACGCGAAAGCGUAGCUAAUACCGCAUACGCCCUUCCAGGAAAGCGGGGACCUUCCGGGCCUCGCACUAUUAAACGAAGCCGAUAUCGGAUUAGCUAGUUGGUGCAGAAUUAACGGCUGCCGGGCGACGAUCCGUAGCUGGUUUGAGAGGACGACCAGCCACACUGGGACUGAGACACGGCCAGACUCCUACGGGAGGCAGCAGUGGGGGUAUUUUUGGACAAUGGGGAAACCUGAUCCAGCCAUCCCGCGUGCGAUGAAGGCCUUCGGGUUGUAAAGCACUUUUGGCAGGAAAGAAACGGCACGGGAUAAUACCCCGUGCAGCCUUCAGUACUGCAGAAUAAGCACCGGCUAACCGUGCCAGCAGCCGCGGUAAUACGUAGGGUGCAAGCGUUAAUCGGAAUUACUGGGCGUAAAGCGUGCGCGACGGUUCCGGAAAGAAAGAUGUGAAAUCCCAGAGCUUAACUUUGGAACUGCAUUUUUAACUACCGAGCUAGAGUGUGUCAGAGGGAGGUGGAAUUCCGCGUGCCAGCAGUGAUGCGUAGAUAUGCGGAGGAACACCGAUAGCGAAGGCAGCCUCCUGGGAUAACACUGACUCAUGCACGAAAGCAUUGGGAGCAAACAGGAUUAGAUACCCUGGUAGUCCACGUCCUAAACGAUGUCAACUAGCUGUUAAGGGCCUUCGGGCCUUGGUAGCGCAGCUAACGCGUGAAGUUGACCGCCUGGGGAGUACGGUCGCAAGAUUAAAACUCAAAGGAAUUGACGGGGACCCGCACAAGCGGUGGAUGAUGUGGAUUAAUUCGAUGCAACGCAGAAAACCUUACCUACCCUUGACAUGUCUGGAAUCCCGAAAGAGAUUUGGGGAGUGCUCGCAAGAGAACCGGAACACAGGUGCUGUGGCUGUCGUCAGCUCAGUCGUGAGGAUGUUGAGUUGUUCCUGUGAGCUCGCCUGCUCAUUAGUUACGAGAGCGCUAUAAUGAGACCCGCUGCCGGUGACAAACCGGAGGAAGGUGGGGAUGACGUCAAGUCCUCAUGGCCCUUAUGGGUAGGGGCUUCACGUCAUACAAUGGUCGGGACAGAGGGUCGCCAACCCCGCAAGGGGCCAAUCCCAGAAACCCGAUCGUAGUCCGGAUCACCAGUCUGCAACUCGACUGCGUGAAGUCAGAAUCGCUAGUAAUCGCGGAUCAGCAUGUCGCGGUGAAUACGUUCCCGGGUCUUGUACACACCGCCCGUCACACCAUGGGAGUGGGUUUUACCAGAAGUAGUUAGCCUAACCGUAAGGAGGGCGAUUACCACGGUAGGAUUCAUGACUGGGUUGAAGUCGUAACAGGUAA